rnacentral:rRNA from 1 species
AUUGAACGCUGGCGGAAUGCUUUACACAUGCAAGUCGAACGGCAGCACGGGGGCAACCCUGGUGGCGAGUGGCGAACGGGUGAGUAAUACAUCGGAACGUGCCCAGUCGUGGGGGAUAACGUAGCGAAAGCUACGCUAAUACCGCAUACGAUCUCUGGAUGAAAGCGGGGGACCGCAAGGCCUCGCGCGAUUGGAGCGGCCGAUGGCAGAUUAGGUAGUUGGUGGGUAAAGGCUCACCAAGCCGACGAUCUGUAGCUGGUCUGAGAGGACGACCAGCCGACACUGGGACUGAGACACGGCCCAGACUCCUACGGGAGGCAGCAGUGGGGAA